rnacentral:lncRNA from 1 species
AGUGUGAGACGUGUAGCUAGGGCUGUGCACUCCACAGAGCUGGUGGGAGCUGGGAAUAGGUGAAAACCCUGCCUCCUUGUGAGUUGGCAGGACGGGAGCCUCCUGUUCCCUGGCUGCUGUUGUGGCCACCGAGCCGCAGCCCUGGAGCCAGGCAUCCCUGUGCUUGGGGAUCAGAGCGAGCAGGAGCAGAUCCUCUCCCUUCUGGGUGCAGCUGCAGCUGCCCAGCCAUGGCUGUGGUCCCGGAAGUCUCUGUGCUCUUGGGAGCUGGGAGGGCCCUCUGCCUCCUGCCCCUUACGCACUCCAGAGUCUCCUCUCUGUUGAGAGCUAAGCAGACAUCAGGACUACCAGCUGCAGAGAGGAGCUACCCACUGUGGGCUUCGUCUCUGCUGAGAGCUGAACACUCACUGGGACGCCCUGCCUAUGGAAACCAGCUGUUCACUCUGGGUCUCCUCUGAGCUGUUCUGUCGCUCAGUAAAGGUCUUCUUCUGCUUACUCGCCCUCCAUUUGUCUGCCUUACCUCAUUCAUCCUGGACACAGGACAAGAACUUGGGACUUGCCGGUAUGGUGGAGCUAAAAUAGCUGUAACACAAACAGGAUUGAAACAUGCCCCUUGCUCGCCACAUUGUGGAUGACAAGAGGGAGGGAAGAAAGGAGAGAAGAUCUGCGACCCUUCGGCAAACCCAGACUUAGGAGAUCGGAGAGCCAAGACUGUGACACCCUUUCUGGGGCUCUGUGGUUCCUGGCGUCUCCAAGCUUCUGGGCACCUCGGCUUUCCCCGGUGCCAGUCGUGGAAGCUGCUUGUGGCCUCCAUUUGCUGUUUGGGAAACUCUCUACGCUAUGAAUGUUAGCUGGCAGCAAACACUGCCUCCCACUACAGGGGCACACAGUGUUGGUGCCUGCUUUUCCACCCUCCACUUCCAACAGGAAGCAAGCACAGGACCCAAGCAUUGCAGACAGUUGUAUCACGCCAAUGUGCAUUCGGAGCCACUGACAGAGUCUUGCUUUGUCACCCAGGCUGGAGUACAGUGGCGUGAUCACAGCUUACUGAAACGUCUGCGUCUCAGGUUCAAGCGAUUUUUCUGCCUCAGCCUCUGGUGUAGCUGGAAUUACAGUGUUAGCAGUCACUGAUGCUCAAACAUGAGAAGACUGGGACAUCCAUCAGAUAAGAAACGCUGCCCAAAGUGUUAGACUAAUAAGUGACAGGGUUGGACAAUGAACCCAACCACUCAACCUUCCGGAAAAGUGAGUUUUAAACAAUAGAUUAUGCUAAUCUUAUCAGAAAAAAACGACAUUGUCCGGGCACGGUGGCUCACGCCUGUAAUCCCAGCACUUUGGGAGGCCAAGGCGGGCGGAUCAUGAGGUCAGGAGAUGGAGACCAUCCUGGCUAACACGGUGAAACCCCGUCUCUGCUAAAAAUACAAAAAAUUAGCCGGGAGUGGUGGCGGGUGCCUGUAGUCCCAGCUACUUGGGAGGCUGAGGCAGGAGAAUGGCAUCCACCCGGGAGGCGGAGCUUGCAGUGAGCAGAGAUCGCACCACUGCACUCCAGCCUGGGCGACAGAGUGAGACUCGAUUUCAAAAAAAAAAAAAAAAAGAAAAAGAAAAAAACGACAUUUCUGGAGCAAGUUUUCAAGAAUAAUGUCCUAUCUUCUUGUUGCCACACUGUACGUCAGGUCUCAAGUGAUGAAUUAAAAAACAAAACAAUAAUAUUGUAGCUCUUUUGCUAUAUUUUAUGAUAAAGUAAAAUAACUCUAUUUUCUAGAACCUAGGUUGUCACACUUGUAGAAGAUGAGAAAGUAGUACGCUUGACUUCACCUACAAACCAUUUAUUGUAUAACCUAACACACUAAGAGGCCCUUUAUUUCUCAUGCAUGUAUCAAAAAUGCUAUAAAGUUACUAUUGAAACAUAAUAAUUAGUGAAAAUAAUAUCUCUUACCAUGCAGAUUAGAACUUUUCCUAUAGAAGUCCAGAUACUCAGUGACCUAAAGAAAAAUCUUCUUACAUAAAAAAGGUUUCAACAUAUAAUAAUAAAACGUACCUAUCCAGGUAGUCAUACCAAUUAGCCGAUACAAUCUAGAAUUAUGGAAAUCUGGUUGGUUGUAAGCACUUUCUUUGACUCUUCCUUUUCAUUUCUUUGGCCUUGAAAAUAAAGUGGCACAGCAAUAAAUUCAGGUAAAGAACAUACUGGUGAUAAUUUUAUAUUCAGUUCAAGUUCAGUUGAUCAUGUUAGGUGGAGUGCUUUCAUUAAAAUUCAACAAUAUAUCUUGGACAUUUUAUUGUUUUGUUUUUUCUUUCAGCACGCAACUAUGUAGGUAUUCCAAAAUAUAUCUAGAAAGAUUCCCAGUGCUUUCUGCAUUCUAAAUGUGCAGAACCUUCAUGGUUCCUUUUUGAAUUACACAUAUUAAUAUAUUUUCAAUUUCAUUUUUCUUAUGAAAAAUAACAUGCUUCUUGUCUGUUUUGUUAUCUGCUUUUUAGUCAUAAUAAAAAUGUUACUUUAAGUCAAAAAAAGCUACAAAAUCAACUUCAAUCUGGAUUAUAUGCAGGAAAAACAUUACAAAAGUGACAAAUUGAUUUUAUGUCUGUCUAAUCAUUAUUAAUCAUCUUCUCUACUUUUGUUAGUGAAUAACCAAAUUAAUAAAAAUUUAAGAACAUAUCAAAUAAGUAAAAGUAACAAGUUUUAGUAAUGCAAAACUAAACAGAUAAUUUGAAAACGUGUAUAGUUUGAAAUUAUAGAGAAAUCCUCUCAAUUUGUGUAAAAAAAUAAUGAAAGCAAUAUGAUUGAAUAUGAAGCAAUAUUAGGUAGUACUGAAGCAAUUUUUUUUUCAUAUUUUGGCUAUAUACUAGGUAAUUAAAAUCCUUCAUCAGUUCCCUUCCCCUUUAUCACAGGCUCUUUUUAUUUCACAGACCAUUUCCUUAACUUCAUAGUGUUUUUCAUCUCAUGGUUUAUAACAAAUUCCCAAAAUAAAUUUGGAUCCAUUUUAACAUCCAAUUUCUUGCCAGAGUGAGCCUGACCUAUCCUAUUCUCACUUACUCUGCUCAGCUAUGUUUUUGCAACAUUUCCAUCUUCAGUAUCAAAAAAUGUAUGUUAUAGAAUGCCCUAUAAAUGGCAUAUUGAGAAUAAAGUGAUGAAUAGAAAUGACAUGAAAAAUAUCAAGUUUCUAAUGCCCAGAAAAAAUGUUAAACAUGAGCCUAAAACUCAAAAAACUUCACAUAGAUUAAACUUAUUUAAAUAACUUUUGCUCUCAAAGUUGAUUAUUUACCAAAACAGAGUGUGGGUCACUAGUUUACAAGUACUAAAUGAUCAAUAUGAGCAAAGAUCAUUAAAAAUUUCAUUCAUUAAACUGUCCCAUUAAUAUCAAUUAGAAGAUACUUAUUCAUUGAUUAGCUUAAUAUUUACUACAUAAAGGUAUGUAAUUUUUUGUGUUUUAACUAAAUGGGCACAUAUAUGUAUGCAAAAGUUGCCCUAUCCCAUUCAGCAUACAUAACAACUUAUUUGGCAAAACAAAAAUUCAGGAAUAAUAUACAAGAGAUCUAUUAUACACCAUGGUGACUAUAGUUAAUAACAAUAUAUUGUACCCUUGAACAUUGCGUUUUAGAAUGUAGAUUUUCGUUGUUCUCAUCACAAAAGAAUAAUAAGAGUUCAUGUAUAUGUUAAAUAGCUUAAUUUAGUUAUUACACAAUGUACAUAAACAUCAAAACAUCAUGCUGAUCACCAUAAAUAUAUAUAAUUCUUGUCAAUUAUAAGAAAAAUAGAGUACAGUUUUGAUGUUCUUGCACAAUUAAAGAGAAAGGAGAAGAAAAGUGGAGUCCCUGGGGCAGAUAUUGAGUGAGUUAGGAUAUUGGAGGAUUUGUGUUGGAGCAAAACAGGACUGCAAUGAAAUGUCAUGCUUGAAUGCAUCUUGCUUUUGGUAACUGCCUGAGGUAAGCUUCACAGGCAUAUUCACAAUUAGUCUCACUGAACCACAUUUGACUAAUAUAAUUUGGCUCACAACUAUGCUAUCUACACCACUAGGUGAAGCACUUCUUUAUUUUAUUUUAUUAUUAUUAUACUUUAAGUUUUAGGGUACAUGUGCACAACGUGCAGCUUUGUUACAUAUGUAUACAUGUGCCAUGUUGGUGUGCUGAACCCAUUAACUCUUCAUUUAACAUUAGGUAUAUCUCCUAAUGCUAUCCCUCCCCCGCCCACCCCACAACAGUCCUCGGUGUGUGAUGUUCCCCUUCUUGUGUCCGUGUGUUCUCAUUGUUCAAUUCCCACCUAUGAGUGAGAACAUGUGGUGUUUGGUUUUUUUGUCCAACAACAGGUGCUGGAGAGGAUGUGGAGAAAUAGGAACACUUUUACACUGUUGGUGGGACUGUAAACUAGUUCAACCAUUGUGGAAGUCAGUGUGGCGAUUCCUCAGAGAUGUAGAACUAGAAAUACCAUUUGACCCAGCCAUCCCAUUACUGGGUAUGUACCCAAAGGAUUAUAAAUCAUGCUGCUAUAAAGACACAUACACACGUAUGUUUAUUGUGGCACUAUUCACAACAGCAAAGACAUGGAAUCAACCCAAAUGUCCAACAACGAUAGACUGGAUUAAGAAAAUGUGGCACAUAUACACCAUGGAAUACUAUGCAGCCAUAAAAAAUGAUGAGUUCAUGUCCUUUGUAGGGACAUGGAUGAAGCUAGGUGAAGCAAUUCCUUUCCUGAGGAAAAUAGAACUCACUCUGCUCUGGCUUGUAUGAGGAGGAAUAGGAUAUAAGCAGUUGAGGAAGAACGGUCCAUGAGUUGCCAUCCUUCCCUCUUCCUGCCUGCCAGAAGAGGUAGAGCCCACUGAAGAAGGAGCAGAAUAAGGAAUGGAAACCUUAGUUACAAGUCCAAGAAAUUCUACCCACUCUACUAUUUUUUUAUGUGUAACUUGAUUUAUAGUUUUUACUUUGAAAGAAUGUAACUAUUGUACAUGUUUCAUAAAGUAUCAAUAGCUGAAUAGACCAAGAAAAAAUGAUUGUCUACCCGCUUUCUAUGCCCACUCUUUUGCUGGUGGAUCUUUUUGCAGUAAUGGUCAACAGGACUAGCUAGCUCUUUCCCUUAAUGUCUACAAAUAAACCUGCAAGUUCUUUUAGUUUUAAAGGAAAUAUUCAUUGCCACAGGGAAUAGGCAGGGGAUAAUAAAACAUAAUGAAGUGAGAAAGAUUCUGUGUCAGUCGGGUUAGAUGAUGUUUUGCUGUGACAACAAACAAGUCUCCCAUAUCAGUUAAGAUUUAGGAUAAUCUAAGUUAAGAUUUAAGUAAAUUUCCUUGCAAAUCUAGGUGGUCGUCAGAGCAAUUAUCCUUUACAAGCCACACCAAAAGAGGCUUAACCAUCUUGUAGACAUAUAUCUGAAUAUAGAACUUUCUACUUCUGUGGGCCAGAGAAUGAGUGAAUGAAAGACUCAAGCACUAGCUAAAUUCUUUCACCCAGAGACAACAUAUAUUAUUUCCACUCAUAUUUUCUUGGUCAAAAAUCAUACAGGAAUGCUAACUUUUGGGAUCAGGUCAGUAUAAUAUUUCUUUGCAACCAGUAUAGAAAAGAAAUAGAGAUAAUUUCUUCCACAAUUCUAAUCUUACAAGUUCCUUAAUCUAUGGUUUCUGAAUGUAUUUUAGCAUAAUAAAAGAAAGUUUACAAGUAUGAGGUUUCAUACAUGAUUAUCAAAUAAUAAGGUAUGAAUUAAAAUACAUAGGUAUAGCUAGGAUGCUUAACUGGAGCUAGAAUGUAAAAAUUAUUAUAUGUAAUACACACACACACACACACACACACACACACACAGAGUCAUGUACCACGUAACAAUGCUUCCAUUUACAAUGAACCACAUAUUUAACAGUGGUCCCAUUAGAUUAAAAUACCAUAUUUUUACUCUACCUUAUCUAUGCUUAGAAACACAGAUACCUAUGAAUGUGUUACAAAUGCCUUUAGCAUUCAGUAAAGUAACAUGUUAUAUGGGUUUGUAGGCCAGGAACAAUAGGCUAAACCGCAUAGUUUAGGUACAUAGUAGGAUAUCCCACCUAUGUUGGUGUAAGUACACUCUAUGAUGUUCAAAAAAUGCUGAAGAGUCUAAUGACCCAUUUCUCAGAAUGUACCGCCAUCGUUAAGUGAGACAUAAUUGUUUAUAUAUAUAUAUACAUACACACACAUAUAUACAGGCAUACCUCAUUUUUGUUUCGCUUUAUUGUGCUUUUUUAGAUACUGCGUGUUUUAUAUAAAUUGAAAGUUCGUUGUAACCUUGUGUCGUGCUAGCGGAUUGGUGCCUUUUUCCAAUAGCAUGUGCUCACUUCCUGUCUCUGUGUCACAUUUUGGUAAUUCCUGCAAUAUUUCAAGCUUUUUAAAUAUUAUUUUAUCUGUUAUGGUGAUCUGUGAUCAGUGAUCUUGGAUGUUAUGAUUGUAAUUCUUUUGGGUAUCAUAAACUGGAUCCAUAUAAGAUGAUAAACCUAAUUGAUAAAUGUUGUGUGUGUUCUGACUGUUUAAGCAACUGGCUGUUACCCCUUUUUUCAGACCUCCCUAUUCACAGACAUACAACAAUAUUGAAAUUAGGCCAAUUAAUAACCUUAUAAUGCCCUUUAGACAUUCAAGUGAAUAGUCACAGGUCUCUCACUUUAAAUCAAAAGCUGGAAAUAAUUAAGCUAAGUAAGGAAGGCAUGUUGAAAGCAAAGACAGGUCAAAAGCUAGGCUUUUGUACAAAACAGCCAAGUUGUGUAUGAAAAGGCAAAAUUAUUGAAGGAAACUAAAAGUGCUACUCCUGUGAACACAAAGAUGAUAAGAGAAUGAAACAACCUUAUUGCUGAUAUGGAGAAAGUUUGAGUGGUCCAGAUAGACGAUCAAACCAGCCACAAAGCCUAAGAGUUAUAAGCCUUGCCUGUUCUGCAAGCCAGAAAACUCAAAGCCUAAUUCAGAACAAGGCCCUAACUAUCUUCAAUACUACAAAGAUUGAGAGAGAUGAGAAAACUUCAGAAGAAAAGGUUGAAGCUAGCAGAGGUUGGUUCAGGAGGUUGAGAGAAAGAAGCUGUCUCCAUAACAUAGAAAUGCAAGCUGAAGUAGCAAGUGCUGACAUAGAAGCUACAGCCAAGUAUACAGAAGAUCUAGAUAGGAUAAUUAAUAAAUGUGGCUACAUUAAACAAGAUUUUCAGUGUAGAUGAAAGAGCUUUCUAUUGGAAUAAAACACCAUCUCGGACUUUUGUAGAUGCAGUGGAGUCAAUGUCUGGCUUCAAAACUUCAAAAAACAGGUUGACUCUUAUUAGGGGCUAAUGCAGCUGGUAAUUUUAAAUUGAAGACAGUUCUUAUUUACCAUUUUUAUCUUUCAAAAAAUCUUAGGGCCCUUGAGAUAUACAUGAAAUCUACUCUGCCUAUGCUCUAUAAAUGGAUCAUUAAAGCCUGGGUAGCAGCACAUCUAUUUACAACAUGGAUCACUGAAUACUUGGAACCUAUUGUUGAGAUCUACUGCUAAGAAGAAAAGAUCCCUUUCAGAGUAUUACUACUCAUUGACAAUGUGCCUGGUCAUCCAAGAGCUUAUAUGGGAAGUAUAAGGAAAUUAAUGUUUUCAUACCUGCAAACACAACAUUCUUUCUCCAGCUUGUGGGCCAAUGAACAAUUUUGACUUUCGUGUCUUAUUGUUUAAAAAAUGUAUUUUGUAAGGGCAUAUCUCUCAAAGCUAGUGAUUAUUCUGAUGGAUCUAGGCAAAGUAAAUCCAAUUUUCUGGAAAGGGUUCACUACUAUAGAUGCCAAUAAAAACAUUCAUGAUUCAUUGAGAAAGUCAAAACAUCAACAUUAACAAGAAUUUGGAAGAAGUUAAUUCUAAUCCUCAUGAAUAACUUUGAGGAACUCAAGACUUCAGUGGAGGAAGGAACUGAAGAUAUGGUAGAAAUAACAAAUGAACUGGAAUUAGAAGUGGAGCCUGCAGAAGUGACUGCAUUGCUCCAAUCUCAUGAUGGAUGAGGGGCUGCUUCUUAUGAAUGAAGAAAGAAAGUGGUUUCUUUAGAUGGAAUUUAAUUCUGGUGAAGAUGCUGUGAAUAUUGUUUUAAUGCCACCAAAGGAUUUAGAGUAUUCCAUAAUACUUGGGAUAUUGAUAAAGCAAUGGUGGGGUUUGAGAGGACUGACUCUAAAUUUGAAAAAACAUUCUUGUGGAUAAAAUGCCAUCAGACAGCACCACAUGCUACAGAGAAAACUUUUAAAUAAGGAAGAGUCAAUCAUUGUGGCAAACCUCAUUGUUCUUUUAUUUUAAGAAAUUCACACAGCCAUCCCAACCUUUAGAAACCACCGCCUUGAUCAUUCAGCGGCCAUCAAUAUUGAGGAAAGACCCUCCAUAAGCAAAAGGAUUACAACGUGCUAAAGGCUUAGAUGAUCACUCGCAUUUUUUAGCAGUAUUUUAAAUUAAGUUAUGUAAAUUGUGUUUAAACAUAAUGAUACUGCACACAAUAAAUUACACUAAAAUAUAAACAUAACUUUUAUAUACACUGGUAGACCAAAAAAAUUGUGUGACUCACUUUAUUAUAAUAUUUAAUUUAGGCCAGGCAUGGUGGCUCACACCUGUAAUCACAGGCGUAGGUUGAACAGCCAGAUGUGGAGACACUGUCCAGCUGUACAAGUUAUUUUUACAUAGAACAACUUAUUGCACAUAUCUGUAUCCAUGUAAACAAAUACUUAUGUAGGGCAGGAGAUAUAACAGUCUUCCUUGUUAAAGAAGACACUUCAAGUUCAAAAGAGGCACUCUUCUAUUUUAAUGCUGCCCUAUAAAAUUGAGGCAAGCCCUUUGCCAUCCUCUUAGAGAAAAAGUGAGGCAUCAGGGCAGAGUUUUAAUGACCUUCUGGACUGCUUAUGAUGACUUUUCUGAAUGUUAUUUAUUAUUACAUAGUAUCUCCUCCACAUUUUGUUGAUCUAGUUUCUAGUAAAAGAUCACUUGAUUUUAUUUUUUAUAUCCCUACUAACCCAUGUGCAUGUACACACAUACACAAAAAGCCAUGACCAAUAUUUUUGUUUUAUAAAUGUACUCUGUAGACUUUGAAAUAGCUGUAGAAGAUUGAGAAAAUAGCCUAGUGGCUUAAAUGAGAAAAGAAAGAUCAAAACAAAUAUGAGGCACAAUCCCCUCUUGUUUUGUUUUAAGGAAUAAAUGAGCAUUCUGACAGACCUCUAGCAGGGGGGCCUCUGGAAGAAAGCCAGCCAGGUCUCUAGGAUCUUCUCUUGAGCACAACAUGCAAUUUGAAGAAGGUUUAGGAUUCAAACCCAAGGGAGGGUUUGAAGCUUUGGACUCUGGAAGGUUUCAGAAUUAGGAACUCUGGAGGUGGGCUGGGUUCUACUGAUAGAUCUCCCCAGGUGUGGUCCCUCCUUGCUCCUGCAUUCACUCUUUCCUCAACACUCCUUGCAGCAUCCUGCCUCAGCUGCUGCCUAACUAACAGAUGGCUUAUGAUUUGUACAGGUUAGGAGACUAUGACUCUUCAUCUGUACUAUAAUUUGGGACACCUGAGGGGGACACUGUAGCUUGGUUACUUUCAUCUGAGUCUUCUAUGUCUGCCACUUAUCAUUGAUUUAUAAUCCUAUUACCUACAUAAUUAGUCACAAGUGGAGCACUGAAUUUUGGAAGGGAGAUUUCACUCUGUUCAAAUGCAAUCAGUCCAUAUGGUAGUUGCAGGAAAUGAAAAAGAGGGAAGGUAUCUAGGUCAUUUCUCAGGCAUACUUUAAUCUAUCCCUUGAGCCCAGAUACUGUAGCAAAUGCUAUACCAGAGCACAUAUGCCUGACAAUAGCUGAACAUGAGGGCCACCCCCACCUAUUAAGCCAUUCUAUAUUCUAUAGAGGACGCAAGUGUUCUGGGGUUAGUGUCAAUAUGGGGUGAGGCUAAUGCCUCUUGACAUAAAGAAUUAUUAAGGACAACAGUAAAAUUAGUGGAAUCAUUGCAAGCAGGGUGAAAAGUUUUCCUGAUGCCUUCUAAUAUAGGAAAAAUGUGAUGGUAGACGUGGCCAUGCCUACCCUAAUGUAACCAAAAGUAGUCCCAAUCAUGCAACAAAAAAACGGAACAUGGAAAGAUGAAAUCGCUGCGUUUGUACUUAUAUUGCCUCCCAACCUCUGACCCCUACUACCACUUAAAAUAGAAGAACAAUCUAUUUGAUUUCUUUUCUCUAGCAGUUCCCUCUCUGUUUGUGGUUCUAUUUGAAGGAAAGAAAAUAUGCUCAGCAUGUACUUUUGAGUAUAAAUUGUAUCUGAUUUUUUGUUUUUGUUUUUGUUUUUGAGAUGGAGUCUCACUCUGUUGCCCAGGCUGGAGUGCAGUGGCGUGAUCUCGGCUCACUGCAACCUCCACCUCCCAGGUUCAAGCAAUUCUCCUGCCUCAGCCUCCCGAGUAGCUGGGAUUACAAGUGUCUGCCACCAUGCCCGGCUAAUUUUUUGUAUUUUUACUAGCCUCGGCCUCCCAAAGUGCUGUGAUUACAGGCAAGAGCUACCAUGCCCGGCCUUAUUUUUGAGAUUUUUUAAAUUUGCCUUUAAAGCUGUUUACUGAAGUAUAAUAUAAAUACUUGCAAGUAAAUCAGAGUGUAGGUCAAAUAAUUUUAAAACACUGACUGUGUUGUGUAACUAGCAUCCUAGAUCAAAACUCUCAGAAGCCUUUUCAUAUUUCCUUUCAGUUUCUACUCUCUUCCAAAAUAUAGACAAAUAUAACUGAUAUUUUUUCUAUUUUUUUCCCUCAAAUGUAUGAGUAGUAUUGGAUCUACUAUUAAUGUGCUUUCCAAGGUUGAAAAUCUUUGCUUUAAUAGGCCUAAACUACAGUCCAGUUCCAUUUAAUGCACAUCUCUAUAGCCUUAUUCUGGUCAGUUUAAUAGCUAUUUUCAGAAGUAUACAGUAAUUUGGAUCCAAAGAUAUAAGCAAAUGGAAAUCUGACUUGUAACAUACUCUAGCUUGGGAGAUUCUCCACAAAUUAAUUACCCUUGACUUUAAUUAAUGUAACCCCCAAGUAAAUAUAACUUAAUAUCCAACCUAUAAAAUAUAUUCCAUUAAAUCAUAAUAGUCUACUGGCAUGCCAAAUUUUUUUAACAGUGUUCAUUUUUCAUGCUUGUGAAGUAGAUAAAAUUGCAUUGUAUAUCUUGAAAUUUGGACUUCUCUUAGUGUUUAUCUUCCUCUUACUGUUUAUCUUCCUCUUAGUAAGAAUGCAGCUUCCUCUCAGGGUAAAAUCAGUAUUGUUUUUGAAUUUCCUUAUCUGUUUAUUUUCUUGAUAUUUUGGCAAUUAAUAUCUUACCCUCAUGCUAAAGUUCAAUUCAAAGUAUCAGAAAUGUAAGAAUCCCCCCACUAUUCAAUGAAUCAUCCUCUGAGGUUGUAUUCUUUAGGUAAAUGCAAGUUGUCUGCUUUUCACUGACAUGAUUAUGCCAAAUCUUACACAAAUAUUCCCAAACAGCAUGAUAAGCACACAUAUUAUCAAAGGUAUGGGAGGAGGAGAAACUAUCAUUUUGAAGACCAGUCCCUGUGGUAAAAAUUUGAUUGUGCAGGAAAUGUGAUUGGCACAUCACAUCUCCGACCUUGUUCAUUUUUCAGUGAACCAUGAAUCUCAGAAUAUUAAAUAAAUAAGACUUUAUAUGUGAUUUCACUCUCAAAAACUAAGAACAAGCAAAAACAACACAAUAAUAAUAAACUCAUACAAAUACUCCUAUAUUUUAUAAUUUGGAUUGCACUUGUUACUACAAAACUCUGCAGGUUUAUUUCUUUGACAACACAAAAUAAAUGUGAAUUUGGAACUUAUGGGUUGAACUGUUAAAAUAUUGUGAACUAUGCACAAACUGUGUAUAUGAUGUAGAACUGAAUAGUUUGCCCCAUUAUGAAAUUUGUAAUGUGAUAGUAGACACUAGACACCUAACAAGAAUUAAUUUAUUUAAAAAAAGGAAAAUUACCUGUGGAUAUUUACAAACUUGUCUUUAGAUUUUCAAAACAUAUUCUCUAAAGCUUUUCUCCUUUUAUAACAAUUUUAAACACACGUUCUGUAAGCUUUUCCUCUUUCAUUACCAUUAAAUGGGACAGAAAGAGAGACUGGAUGUAACUAAACUGAAAAGGAAAGUGGCAGAUGACUCAAAUAGGAGAAAAUUUUAAAAAGGUUAAAAUUAUAGAAACACUCAUUUGCUAUAGAUGUCAUUAAAAUUGUAUAUCAAAAUAUUUAUGUGCCUCCUUUAUCGAAAACAUAAAAGCCUACCAGCUAUACAAAAUUGAUAGUAUGAAAUAGGUUUCUCUCUCUGACAUCACCCAGGAUAUUUUAUUUACCUUAUAUAUUUCCUUAAAAGAGAGUGAAAUUACAAACCAUUUUACCAUAGGAAUUUUAGGAAGAUAAUUUUUCAUCUUUUCUGUAUGGCAGUAUUAAAAAUCCAAAUAGUAAAAAUUUACAGAAUGGCUUAUUCUAUUAUGCCUUUUGCUGAAUUUCUUCAUUAUUUAUUAGUUUGUUUUUCAACUUAUCCAAGGCUUUCAGUUGUUGUAGCCUCUGGGAAAUAUCCUCAUAUUAUAAAAUCCACAUACAAUUUAGAGUGAUUGACAGGCUCCAAUGAGGAGGGAUCAAAACUGGACCAGCAGGGGCAUUACAUGUCAAAGAAGGUGCACAAACAUAUCCCAGAGAUGCAUAGAAUUUCUUUAUAUAUGUUUUACUAGGCAUAUAUUUUGCAUCAAUGCCUAAUUUGCUUAAAUCUGGGAAAAUAUUUCAUGCACUGAAAAGAGUAAAUAAUGAAGUAAAACUGAAAGAGUAAAAUACAUUGACUAAAAAAGCACAGUUGAUGGUAGAUGAUGUACUGUACUGAAAGCGAAUAAAACAACAGAAGAUUCUUUCACUAUUUCUUGAAAGAUAAUAUGAUCCAUAAUAGAAGACUCUGGACAACCAGGGGAUAAUGAAAGAAGUUAAAUAAUAACAGAAUAGAAUAUGUAGAAAAAUAAUAAGUUUCUUUCUGAGGUUAUCAUGAAGAAAAUUGCAGACAAGAUGUCUGGAUUAAAAAGAAAGCUUCAAAGAAGCAGCAUGAAUAUUUUCUUUAAAAUAAACACAUGCAGUUUAAGACAAAUGCUGAUGGACACAAUAAGGACUUCUUGAUCAUGAAAUACAUAAAUCAAAGUCAAACACAGUUUUCAGAAAAGUUAUGAAUGCAGAUGGCAGUGAGUUGAUAAAGUAAAAGCACAAGUCCUUAAUUGGUAUAAAUAUUUACAAAAUAUUUCAUAUCAUCAUCCCUGUAGUAAUUACAUGUGGAGCUGAACAGAAUAUGUGCAGGACAGUGAAAAUUUCUGUGACAUUUUUCCUCAUUAAGAGCUCACUUCUCUCUUUUAAUUCUUUUCAAAAACAGUUUUAUGAAUACUUUUUUUCAGUUUUAAUAUAACUUUGUGAACCUUGAAUGUGAACCCAAGUACUUUAUAACUUACCAGUGUCAUCAUGCUGUUAAGACUUGCAUCUGGAAAACACUUCGUGAGUUUGGGGGCUGUACAGUACCCCUGGACUUACAGUUGGAAAGGGCCCAUACCUGAGUUAAUGCUCUGCUAUUGCUCGGUGGAAAUUCUUAAUUUUUGAACAAGGGACCCCACAUUUUCGCUGUGCACUGGGCUCUGCAAAUUAUGCAGCCGGUCAUGCAUGCUUUCCUUCAAAGUUAAAAAUCUAUUUUGCUCUCUUUUUCCACUUCCCCACAGAGGCACAUCUAAGGAAAAUUCUAUUGCCAGUAAAACUAUCUUUAGGAUGAAUCACUAUUACUCUCUCUCUCAUUUCCUCUUUGUGGAAAAUUUCUGAGGGAUAUUCUAAAAUGUCUACAGAUGUGGCAUUAUAUGAUUAUUGUUGCUGCCUAGGGAUUCCUCCUUAUUGUUUUUCUCAAGUGUUUUAUUGCUAUAAAUUAAGUUAGGAAACUCAGGGGCAACAUAGAUUUGUGAGAAAAUGAUGAACAUGAUGCUUUAAAAUUAUUAUGGGGCAUUCAUUGGGAGAUUUCUAGAAGGCAUUUGGUGAAAUGAUCUGGAGUUUAGGAGACUGGUUUAGGAUAGGAGUCAUCAGCCUUUACGUUUUUCAUGAAGUCAUUUCUGUGAAUGUCAGCAGUAAGGUUGAGUGUGUAAAUUGAGAAGUUCAAGGCCAGAUACCUGGGAAAUGCUGACUUAAAGGGUCGCAAUGAGAAGUUCAUACUAGACAAAAGUAGCAUACAGAGGGGUAGAAUGAAGGAAAACAAAGUCAAAACUUAGAGAAUACAGAAACAAGAUUUAGAUUUCAACUCCAUUAUAUGUGUCUUAUGCUAUUGUCAAAUUGGGCUGCGUUCCACUUUUUCGAAAGACACUACCCCUGUGUGUUUGCCAGAAAUUCACCACUUUUUUAUUGUCAAAAUUGUCAAAGAUCAUGCUCAAAUAUCACUCUUUUUUGCUGUAUUUACUGAUUCUCAGAGAUAUUGUGAUGCCCCAGAAAUUUAUUUCUACCUCUCUUUUAAUUAUUUCUUAGUUUGCCUUGUCAUUGAGUUUUGUACUUUUCUUAUCUUUUCUAUUGCAUAACACAUGGUUUUUGUGCAAGAUUCUUGGGCAAACAUCUCUCUACCUCCAUCAGAAAGUAAUACACAUGAGUGUACACAUCAGUGUACACAUGAGUAUGCCCAUGAAUAUUUGUUGAAUAUAAAUAAAUUGUUAGAAUUGAGCUGAGUCUAGCUGGCUGAUUGGCAUAGCUGGUGGUUGUGGCCCAAAGCCUUUGAGCACCUAUGGGCACUCUAGUCUGAGUCCUAGAGGGGCCAGUCCCACCCAGGAAUGGCACCACUGGAGCAGGCACCUUGAGAGGUCUUAACCCUUGCAAUAUGUCAGUGCCAGGGGAAAACGCAUCCCCUCCUCCCCAACCUUAGGCCCAAAUUUUCAAGGCUGAGGCCCAGAGUGGGCUUGCCUGCCAUAGACUCCCCCUAUACUACAUAGUCUUCUAGGAUCUCUGUGGGGCUCACUGUGGGUGAUCUUCCAACUUAGUUGGAACAUGGAGCGACAUGCAGUAAACAGCAAUACCUCACCACAGAAUACUGGUUUAGAGAGUGGACAGAUUCUGCAGCAGGAAAGGGGUUAUGCCUUGAUGUUUCAAGUCAGUAGAGGCCUGUUAAAUCACACCAAAUGACAACAAAUCAUUGUCCAAGCUGUCCCUGAGGGACAAGGCUAAACCAUCCUACAAGUAUCUAUGUUUGGGACACAGCCUUGUAGCAGAUAUAGUUGGUCUUGUGGAAAUAGAUCGAGGUCUGGGGGAAAAAAAGUGGAGGAUAGAGAUACAGAGGGAAAGACUUUACAGGUUCAGGGCCAACAAGACCAGACUCAGAAGAUUGUCAUCCAGCACGUGCAGACAGCCCUCACCACCAGCCAGACACACAAAGAAGCAGAUUGCUAUCCAAGGGCAGCAAGUAGGACAGAUCAUGGUCUACCAGCCAGUUAAUGCAGAUGGCAACAUUCUCCAGCGAGUCACAGCCACCAUCUCAGCAGCCACUUUGACAGUGGCAUAGACUUUUCAGACAGCAAGCCAAUACCAACACAACCAGCAGUGGGCAAGGAACCAUCACUGUAACACUACCAGUGGCAGAUUAUGUGGUCACUUAAGGAGAGACAGUCAUGAUGGUGCCUGGGCUGUCUCUGUGACUGCCACCCAAAGAAUCUCUCACCUGGAACAGAGAUAGAAAGACAGCCUCCCAAUGUGAAUGUGGAUAACAACUAGUGACAUCAUCUUUGUUAAGAGGAUGUAAGCCUGGGCUGAACUAGAGGUACAAGGAACAUUCCUAAGGGAAAAAAAAAAAAAAAUAUAUAUAUAUAUAUAUAUAUAUAUAUAUAUAUCUGCAUAAUUCGUGGUAUGGCAUAAAAGUGUGGCAGAGUUGAAUGUUUUUUUUUCCCAAAAUAAAAGAAUAGUCUCCAUAUGCAGGUUGCAGACCAAGUAAAUGCAGCAGCAAUGGCAUGCAGAAUUUGAGUGUUCUCAAACCAGGCCACAUGAUAGGGAUGUAUUAUUUGUGACUGUGUUCCACUACUCAAGGAAAUUGAUCAGCUCUUCCAAAAGGACACCCAUGAUCAUAUUCUGCUCUUUUCUGCAGGACAGCAACCACUUAGUUUUUAAUGACAGGCUCAAUAUUAUAAUUGUAGAAACAUCUAGAAAAGUGAAAUUGUAUGCGUUUGUCUUUUCUUUUCAGUUCUGUGCCUAUUUCAUACUGUAGAUAAUAUUGACAGUUCUUAGAUUAGGAUAAAUCAAAGAACCCAUGCCAGCCAAGGAGUACCACAUAAGCACUUUUGCUGAUGGGUGAAGCCGACCAUCCAUCUCAGCAGGAGAGAGUAACCUUUUCAACCUAAACCACAGUCAGGGAAGCUACAGUCCACACCUUCCCACAGAAAUGUGGUUAGAGGGCAUCUCUCUUUCUGGUUGGGUAGCUCAGUCUACCAAACUGCACAGGCAUUUAAUAUUUAGAGAUGACUUCCAGAAGAGGAAGUUUGUCUUCAGACAUGAAAACAAUAAGUCCUCUGAGAUACAAUAAAUACAUACAUACAUGAAUUGUUUAUCUUAAAGCAGUGAUUUUCAAAAAUCGCUUUAAGAAACCUCAGUUAUAUAUAAAGAGUUGUUACUUUAUAGCAGAGGAGUCCUUUGGCCAGUAAUUUUGGUAAAUAUGUUGCAAACUCAAGCAGGUUUCUAAUACUCUAGGACUUAUCAAAUCUUCUGUUAUAUUUAAGCUUUGUGAAUCUUAGAGAGAGAGAUAGAGUGCAACAUUUGUCAAAAUUAUUUAACCAUAAAAUCAAUGUAUUCAUUUCAACAAUCUCAUGAAACCAACUUUUCUGUGAAAUAUGCUUUGGAGAAUAUGUUAAGAUUUAAUUCUUUCUUAUAGAAUACAAUAUGGAUCUAUAUGAUGCUAAUUUGGUCAUAUACAUGUAAAAGGAAUGACAUUUUGUUAAUUAAAAUUUUUUGGUAAAAAUAAUUAAAGUGAUAUUUGAUCAGAUUUUUAUAUAGGACUAGUGUUUUCCCUUCGUGUGUGUGUAUAUAUAUGUGUGUGUGUGUGUAUAUAUAUAUACACACUCACACAAUAUUGUGUAUAUAUACAAUAUUGCAGCUACUGGUUAUUGCAGCAUAUUUGCUCUGUGAAAUCAUCACUUUUACUAUUUCACAUUCUGAGCACAUACUCUUCUUGUUCUUUUUUUCUUUGUCUUCCAAUUCAUUAUUUGUGUUCUCUGAUUUCAUUAAGAGUUCUUAUUUUUGAUCUAGUUAUCUCCCUCUCUAUCAGGGCACCCUCUAUUUCUAUCUGUAUUAACCCUCUGAAAACAGGAAUACACAGAGGCCACUCCAAACAUGGACAUUUGCAAUGCCUAGAACAUUGUGCCAGUGGAUAUGUGAAUGAAUUAUUCCCUGUCCCCCACCUGCACAUUAUUCCGUUUUCUUGCUCAUUGCCACUGUAUCAGAAGGGCCUUUCUUUACUCCUAACCAUAUUAGCACCAUCUUGUCACAUGUCUUUCCCUACCUCUUAUGAUCUAGAUCAUUAAUUCUGGAGUUUUAAUUUUAAGGUAUACUAUAUGGGAAAAGGAGGCACCUCAGGAGUUCAUGAGAAAUAGCAUGAAAAGCUUGGGAUGCUUAUUCCAUGGAACUUAAGACAUUUGCUGAGGUUCCAGAGUAUUAUCAAAAAAUUUAAGAAGAAAAAUCAGAUUUUUAAUACAAAGAGCACAUCAUAGAUGUGGUUUGUAGUUUGUAGACAAAAAAUAAAAAAAUAAAUAAAGAACAAUUAAAAGGCAACACUGAAUUUUAGGAUAUAAAUUAUAAGUACUUGAAAAAAAAAGCAAUGUUGUUUUAUUUUGUCCAGUGCAAUUUACAUAAUUGAUUGGCUACCCAGGGUCCAUUUUCCUUUUGCAUUAUUCUACCCCACCCAUCCACUCCAUGUGCUGUGGAGAAGGUAGACCACAUCCCCAGCUGGGAAGAGAGGGCAGAGUUGAUUUAAAUUAAUCCAUAUUUUGUAUCCCAUUGGGCAGGCCUUGAUUAAAUAGUGGACAAAAAUAAAAUUACUUUUAAUUCUUGCUGGGAAUCCUAGAUCUAAAGGGCUCUGCCUCUAGGCAUAUAUGAGACCCAGAAUUGUUGUAACCAUUAGAUAACACACUAAAAAAAAUUAUCAUGCACAGUUAAAAAAUCACAGACAAAUACAGCAAAAUCAUGACUGAACCAUGACGUUUCACAACUCUACUUAUAACUUAAGCCACUUUGUACUGAGCAUUGGUUACUUCCAGCAGAAACCAUCCUAAAUGAUAAUACAAAUAUAUUGGAAUCAUCUAAUACAAAUAUAUAUAGAAUCAUCUAACUGAUUCAUAAUCACUUCUAAACCAUUGUUUAUAUCUCCUUUUAGAAGAUCUUGUCUGUUUUUGCCCGAAGUGGACAGAUCACAAGGUCAGGAGUUUAAGAACGUCCUGGGCAACAUGAUGAAACCCUUUCUCCACUAAAACCACAAAAAUUAGCUGGGUGUGGUGGCACGUGCCUGUAAACCCAGCUACUUGGGAGGCUGAGGCACGAGAAUCGCUUGAACUCAGGAGGUGGAGGUUGCAGUGAGCCGAGAUCGCGCCACUGCACUCCAGCCUGGAGACAGAGCAAGCCUCUGUCUCGAAAAAAAAAAAAAAAGAAAAGAAAGAAAAGAAAAUAAUUAUUAUAUUUUACAGGUCUGUGAAACUGAAUAAGGCAAGUUUAGGCAGAACGAGAAGAAUUAACUUUCAAUGUCCUUGCUUUAGCCUCUUUUAUCAGACCUUUAAAGUUAUUUUUAUAUUGCUUUGGUACUUAUUUCUUUUACAGCAUUUGAAAAUGUAUUUGUCUGUCAGGGCCUGGAGAGAAUUAUAGAGAAGGCUGACAGAUGAUUCUGUCAUCACUCUAAAUGUCAUUAGCCUGCCAGUUUUCUCCAGAGCAAAUGAAAGUACUUAUAUAAACAGGAAAAAAUUGGAUGGCAAUAUAAAUAUUUUCAUAGUGAUUUAAUAAUAUCUAGUCACUUAACAAAUAAUGUUAUCUACAUGCUGUAUAUUUAAUACAUAAAUUAAUAUGAACGUUAACUGGCAGUGUUUAUUUUUUCUAUGUUCCAUCAUGAAGAUAUUAACAAUAAAUAAUUGGGAUAGCACAUGAGCAUAAAAUACAUUUUUUUUCAAAACCUAUGCUGGAUGACACAUAAUGUUAAUUAGAAAUGUUAAAAAACAGAGAGCUGGCACUCUAACUUUCCAGUUAAGCAUUUCACCACUUUAAAAUAUAUAGCUAUCCUAUUUAUCAUGGCACACAAGUACCAAAACCUUUUUUAAUUGAUAAUAAUCUAUCUAAUGUCCAGCUUAGACAUGUUUUUCUUAUUUUCUUUUUUCUUCAUGCAGUUGUGCUGUAUAUUAUUGCAAUUUCUUGAAAAAGCUACACAUUAUCAUAUCUUUUUGCAUUUAUUUGUGUGUCUUCUUCUGCUUGAAAAGUUUUUUAUUUCCCACCUAAUCUAACUGGUGAACUGUUUUUCAUCUACCAACCUUAGCCCAUAUUUUACUUUAAUGAAGUCUCUAUUGAGUCCCACAGGUGGCAGAAGUAAUAGACUCCUUCCUGUAACAUUUAAUGAGAUGGUAACUGUAUAUGAACAAGUAUUCUGACCAAUAGUGUUCCCACAGCACUUUGUAUAGAUCACCAUUAUAAUGCUCAUUAUCAGCAGCUAAUUUACCAUAAUGUGAAUAAAAUGUAAGAUUCACAGCCCCUCAAUUUUAUAGGCAUCUUUGAAGUGCCUAUAGAUGGUUUCCUAUUUGUAUUCAGUACCAUUUUUCGUAAAGAGCGUCUCCCAAGUAGUAUAUUUCAAACAUAGAUACACAGUUAUUCCUCACAUUGCCUCACAGUUAUCCAUCAUUCUAGUCUGAGCGAUUGUCAAGGAUAAAUUUCUUGUCUUAAGCAUGCUUAUUUCUUUAGUGAUUAUCACUCUGUUUAUACAGCAUUCAAUAAGGAUCUAUUGAACAAGUCAUAUCACUGAACUCAUGAUGGAAUUGGAUAUGCAAUGAACCAAAAAAAAGAGAGGCAGAAAAUUUCUUUAGGAGAAAAAAAAGAAAGAAAAAAGAAAAGUUGAUUGAUAUACUUACUUGCCACACCUGGAAGACAGAAUUAGAAAGUUUCCAUGUCAGCCUAUAUAGGUGUGUAGCCAAGUUGAGCAAUCAGCAAGUGUUUUAAAAGAGCAGGUUAAAUUUUUGAAAUAAAAAAGGAAAUUAUAUUGGUGGGUUUGUUGUUCCAGCUGUGUAGUUGUGAUUAGCAGAAAAGGCACUUUUACACAUUUUCAAAAUAUGGGAAAGCCUUCUAUAGAAGUUAUUAGGUUAUUCCUUGGGGAAACCAGGAAGAGUGAUUUCUGUUACUUUGACAUUACUUCAUCCAUACCUGUAAUCUGCUCUGGGAAUCAAGUUAUAAAUUAGGCCUUAGUCUCAACAAUUAGCCCUAUACUUGUAUUUGUAGUGAAGGAAAAAUUAUCUAUCUUUGCCUUGUAAAUAUUUGAAGGUCAAGCUCAGUUGACCUAGAAAUAACCUCUAGAACAUAUAGUGAUGGAGAACUUGAUAAUUUAACAUUUUAGAAAAGAUAUUACACAAGUAUUAGUUGUUUGAUCUUACAUCCUCUAGAAAUGUUUACUCAAGUUUCAGUGAUAGGAAAUAAAGUGAAUUUCAUAUUAUUUUAUUUUAUUAACUUUUAUUUUAAGUUCAGAGGUGCACAUGCAGGUUUGUUACAUAGAUAAACUUGUGUCAUGGGGGUUUGUUAUACAAGUUAUUGCAUUACUCAGGUAUUAAGCCUAGUACCCAUUAGUUAUUUUUCCUGAUCCUCUCCCUCCACCCACCCUACAUCCUCCAAUAGGCUCCAGUGUUUGUUGUUCCCCUCUAUGUGUCCACGUAUUCUCAUGAUUUAGCACUCACUUAUAAGUGAGAACAUGCAGUAUUUGAUUUUCUGUUCCAGCAUUAGUUUGACAAGGAUCAUGGCCUCCCUCUCCAACCAUAUCCCUGCAAAGGACAUGAUCUCAUUCUUUUUUCUGGCUUCAUAGUAUUCCAUCAUGUGUAUGUACUACAUUUUCAAUGAAAGUGCCCAUUGUAUUACUCUUCAUUUCUCUUAUUUCCUACUCUUCAGCCACUUUUUCUCUUAGCACAUUCUUUUAAGGUUUUAUUUCUUCCUAUACAACACACCAGUUAAACUAGAAGAAAAGAAAAAUCUUAACAAUUAAUAUUAUUAUACUUAAAUGAAUUAUUUUUAUGAUGUUUUAAAUUAAAUCAUCUGUUUUAACCUAAUUGUUCUUGUAUACUCGUAUCUUCAUUUUGUGCUAAAUUCUGGUUUUUGCUUUUUUAUUUUUUAUUUUUAUUUCAAUAGUUUUUGAAAUACAGAUGGUUUUUGGUUACAUGAAUAAGUUAUUUAGUGGUGAUUUCUGAGAUUUUGUUGCACUCAUCACCCAAGUAGUGUACACUGUGCCCAAGAUGUAGUCUUUCAUUCCCUACCUGCCUCCCACCCUUCCCCCUCAUUACCCAAAGUCCAUUAUAUCGUUCUUUUUGCCUUUGCAUCUUCAUAGCUUAGCUCUCACUUACAAGUGAGAACAUACAAUAUUUGCUUUUCCAUUCCUGAGUUACUUCACUUAAAAAAUGGUGUCCAGUUCCAUCCAGGUUGCUGCAAAGGCUAUAAUAUUCUGUUUUAUGGUUGAGUAGUAUUCCAUGGUGUAUAUAUACCACGUUUUAUUUAUGUACUCAUUGGUUCAUAGGCAUUUAUGUUGCUUCCCUACUUUUGCAAUUGCAAAUAGUGCUGCUCUAAAAAUGCAUGUGCGUGUGUCUUUUUCAUAUAAUGUUAUAUUUUCCUUUGGGUAGAUACCGAGUAGAGAGAUUGCUGGAUAAAAUGGUAGUUCUACUUUGAGUUCUGUACAGAAUCUCCAUACUGUUUUCCAUAGUAUUUGCCCUAGUUUAUAUCCCACCUGCCGUGUAAAAGUGUUCUCUUUUCACCACAUCCAUGAAAACAUUUAUUUUUUUUUAUUUUUUAUUAUGGCCGUUCUUGUUGAAGUAAGAUCUUAUCUCAUUUUUAUUUUAAUUUGCAUUUCCCUGAUAAUUAGUGAUGUUGAGCAUUUUUUCUUAUGUUUGUUGGCAGUUUGUAUAUCUUCCUUUGAGAGUUGUCUAUUUAUGUUCUUUGCUCACUUUUUGAUGGGAUUAUUUGUUUUUUUCUUGCUGAUUUGGUUGAAUUCCUUGUAGAUUCUGGAUAUGCAUAGUUUGCAAAUAUUUUCUUGCACUCUAUGAGUUUUCUGUUUACUCUGCUGACUUUUUCUUAUGCUGUGCAAUAGGUUUUUAGUUUAAUUAGGUCCCAUUUAUUUAUUUUUGGUUUUGUCGCAUUUACUUUUGGGUUCUUAGUCAUGAAUUAGGUGCCUAAACCAAUGUCUAGAAGAAUUUUUCUAAUGUUAUCUUUUAGAAUUUUUAUAAUUUCAGGUCUUAGAUUUAAGUCUUUGAUCCAUUUUGAGUUGAUUUUUGUGUAAGGUGAGAGGUGGGGACCCAGUUUCAUUCUCCUAUAUGUGGCUUGACAGUUUUCCCAGCACCAUUUAUUAAAUUGGUGUCCUUUCUCCACUUUAUGUUUUUGUAUGCUUUGUUGAAGAUAAGUUAGCUGUAAGUAUUUAGCUUUUUUUCUGGGCUCUCUAUUCUGUUCCAUUAAUCUUUGUGCCUAUUUUUAUACCAAUAUCAUGCUGUUUUGGUAGCUCUAGCCUUGUAGUAUAAUUUGAAGUUGGGUAAUGUGAUGUUUCCAGAUUUGUUCUCUUUGCUUAGUAUUGCUUUGGCUGUAUAGGCUCUUUCUGGAUUCCAAAUGAAUUUUAGAAUUUUUUUUUCUAGUUCUGUGAAUAAUAAUUAUGAUACUUUGAUGGGAAUUGUUUUGAAUCUGUUGAAUGCUUUGGGCAGUAUUGUCAUUUUCACAUAAAUUCUGCUUAUUAACAAACAUUUUUCUCAAUAAAUGAAGAAAUUUAGAAAUUAGGGCAAGUCUCAUAUUAUUUCAUUAUUUAUUAAAAUAUGUCUUUGUUGUCUUCUUAAUGAUGAUUUAUGAUAUAUGUAUACACACACCCAAACACACACAUUUAACCCUUGAACAACACAGGGGUUAGGAGUGCUGAUCCCCAUGCCAUUAGAAAUUCACAAAUAACUUUUGACUCUCCCAAAACUUAACUGCUGAUACCCUACUGUUGGCCAGAAGCCUUACAGAUAACAUAAGCAGUCAAGUAAUGCAUACUUUUUGUGUUACAUGUAUCGUAUGCUGUAUUUCUACACUAAAGCAAACUAGAGAAAAGAAAAUUGUAUCAAGAAAAUAAUAAGGAAGCAAAAAUAUAUUUACUAUUCAUCAAAUUGAAGUGGAUUAUCAGAAAACUCUUCAUCCUUGCCGUCUUCAACUUUGAUAGGCUGAGAAAAAGGAGGAAGAAGAGGGGUUGGUGUUGUCUCAGGAGUGGUAGAGUUGGAAGAAAAUUUGCAUACAGGUGAAUCUAAACAGUUCAAACCUGUAUUACUCCUGUUGUUCAAGGGUCAGCUAUGUGUGUGUGUGUGUGUAUGUGUGUGUGUGUGUUUGUGUGUGUUUUAUUUUCUUAGGUCUUAGACAAUGAAAUGAAUGGAAACAUAAGCCUGAACAUAGGAGAACAGGCAGAUUUUCCAUUAUUACUCUCCCCUAUAAUGUAUUAAUAAUAUGCUUCAACAAUCUUAAUUGCUUCAAUGACCUUCUUAAUUUAACAGAUUCAACCUUCUCCGUUUGUAAUUUUACCAGAGUAAUUGGAUAAGUAGGCAUUGCAUGUACCUAAACAAAUUAGGCAUUUUAAUAAAACCUCAUUAUUCACAGCUCAUUAGACAAAAAGUCAGAUUUUUUAUUAUUUUCAAUCAUACUAUAGAGUAAGGUUCAAUAUUAAACACCAUACUUUGUGUUUUAGAUUUAAGUUGUUCACAACAUAAAUUUCAAGUCAAUUCUAAACUAGUGAUAAGACAUUUAUAUUGUAUUGAAAGGUAUCAUUUUAAAUUUUCUGUGUGUGAAAGAAUUUAAGAUGCAGUUGAUAGAAACUAGGUAGCAGAACUAAGGAGAAUUUGUUUUUUUUACCCUUUCUAUUUUAUUUGCAUGCAAAAUUGUAUGAGUUUCAUGCAUUCUGGUUUGGUUGUCACGAGUGGUUCAUGUUUCUAGAGCAAGAUGGCCUUCAUAUUUCCUUCAGCCUGACUAAACUUUAGAUAGGUUUAGAACUGACUCUAGGCCCAUAACCUUUCUAUUCUUAGAGCACUUACCUUAGAAAACUUGUGAAUUAUUUCUUUGCCUCUUUGAAAUGUAAACCAUUUUACAAGCUUCUCACUGGUUUUACAAACCAGAAAUGUCUUUCUCAGGAACCUUGGAACUAUCUUUUUAAAAUGCAAUCAACAAAAAAGAAAGAAACCCUAUAUUCCUAUUUUUGUUGAAUAUUAGGAGCCUAACUUUGAUAGCCAUCUUGCCCCAAGUUGUAAAACUAUAUCUUGUCAUGAAGAUAUGAAAAGUUUGCUUACACAGAUGGCUUAAGACUCCCCUCUUUCCUCUCUUCAGCUCUGAAGAAUCCUUCUGCUUUGUUUCAGUAGAGUUUAACUCAGACUGAGAACUGGCAUCUGGCUUCUAUUUCAAUAACUUUAAAUAAAGUCUUCCUCAUCUGUUUUUGCCUGGUGUAAUUUUUGUUUUGACAUCAUAAAUUAUUUAUAUGCUUUCAUGGUUUAUUUUUAUAUAAGCUCUUGUAUCUUUACAUGAGUGUUGUUAUUUAAUACAGAAUAUAAUUUAAUACUCCUUUAAAUAAUUUCAUUUGAUAUAUGAACUUCCCACAGGUAGUGAUAAAAUGUAGCAUACCUGUAUAAUCCCUUUCUCUGUAUCACCUGUUGUAAAGAUUAUCACACAGAAAGCUUAACAAAUCUAGGAAUUGGUCAACUUCAAAUAAUAAAAGUUUUUAUUAAAAAAAUUACUGUUGUGAAAAAAAUUCAAUAAUUGUAAUGCUUUUGAAAAGUGAUACCACCAUGAAACUGUAAAUAAGGCUACAUGGAAAUAUAAUUUCAGGUCAUGCUGCCCUCCGUCUUCCCCCAAUUAAAAUAAAUAAAACUGAUCAAAGCAAUACUUGAAAUGAUUGUGAAUGCAUUUUUAAACAUGGAAAUAGUUAAAGGGAUGGAGCUUAAACUAUUCAAUAUUGCAGUCUUUACCCGAUGCAUCUAUACUAAGGAUUCAAGCAAGUUUGGAAAUCUAGAGGACUAUUAGACUCUUGCACUUUCAAUGGCAGGUAACCAAAGCUCAUCUCAAACUGGCUCAUGUAAUACAAAGGACCAGGAAUAACUCUGGCUUGAGCUGAGCAGCAUCCACUGCUGAAAUUAUAUUUUCAGAAUAGUUUUCCUCUCUCCCUCUCUUGGUUUUGUCUCCCUAUGUUGGCUUUAGUCUUAGGAAGUCUCUCUCUUAUUGGCAAAAUGCAUUCUGAAGCUCACGUUCCCUCACAUAAGCAAUUCCCCACCUGCCUCUGUGUCCUAAACUAGAAUAUCAAUUUCCUAGUAUGUUACUCUAAUACAAGCCAUCCGUUUGAGUCUUUGUGGACAGGCUUAGAUCAAAAGCAAUCCCUAAAUGAAUCAAUGUAGUGGGAGAAAUGGAGUAUCUUUUUUAUUUUAUUUUAUUAUUAUUAUACUUUAAGUUUUAGGGUACAUGUGCACAAUGUGCAGGUUUGUUACAGUGUCUUGCCUGGAAUAUAUGCUUGUUCCUGUGUCCUGGGGGUGGAUUACUUCCUAACAAGUCACAGGAACUUAGAGAGAAAAUAUGUAGCUAUACAUUACAAGAAAUAACAACUUAUGCUCUCCCUUUGCAUUUUGCACUGAAGAACUUCAUGAGGAGAAAAUUCUCUCUGAGGAAAGACUUGGUGAAGGCACUUGAGCUGACUCACAUCAAUGGUUAUAUUUCUCAAAGUUAGACUCAUACUUGGUACCACUGUUGCUAGUAUUGUCUAUUUAGGUUAUCCUCUUAAAAACCCUCAAAAUUCUUCACAUAAUAAGGGCAUUGGGAGCUACAAUAAAUAAAAUAAAAAAUAUAAAUUGAGAAUUCUCUAUCUCUCUCUGAAAUAUUUAUAGAAAUUGCAGACAUAAAUCCUUUGAUUUGUGUAUAUUUACUGGCUUUCAAUGGUGUUGUAGUCACACCAAUGGGCAAUAGAAUAAUAACAAUAAUAAAACAACAAAGUAGAUAUGAUCCCUGACUGCAUGGACUCUGCAUUCUACAGAAGAGAUCGAUAACAAACAAUUAAAAGGUUAAGAAAAACUUUCAUUGAGAUGGUUAAGCUUUUACAGUGUUGGACUAUUGGUUGCACAUGGGAUUACUAAAAGAAAUGGGGAAUCAGCAGAAAUCAUAUUUAACAUGGAAAGGCUAAAGGCAUUGCCACACAUUCUGAAAUUUAGCAAACUCUGCAUAAACAAGAGAAAAAUAAAUGAAAAACGGCAAAUGCUACAUUGUAGCCAGAACAAUUGUUUGUUCAUGGCUUAAUUGAAAGAACUUGAGGGAGGGAAAAGUGAUGGCAAAUUUAUGGUAAGGGGAUGAGACAGUGCAAUGCUGUUUUGUAUAAUUGUAUUUGAAAAUAUGUGGCAGCUUUGAAACGAGCUAUUACAGACUAGGGAAAAUUAAAAGUUACUUUCUGUUAAAAGAUAAUACUUCCUUAGAAUAAUGUAUUUAACACUUAUAUUGAAAUUAAAUCUUUUCCACUCAUUCUCUUUAUGUCUCUCCCUCCUCCUUUUCCCUUUGUUUUUUUCUUUUUCUCUCAUUUCUUUCAUUUUUCACUUUCUAUAUUUCCCCAAAGGAAUUUUAUUAGUAUUGGUGACUACUAAGUAUUAUACAGAUUAGCUCUAAUCUCUGUAUCUGCUAACAUAACAUGUAAAUAAUCGAUACAAGGAUGGAGGUGCACACUAUGUAAACUAUUGAUAAUAGGAGUAACAACGUGACAUAGAAAGCAAAAAAAAAUCAAAUUAAUAGCUGAGUAAAACCAUGAAUAUGUAUUUCUGAAGCAUGAGUUUGAGGAAAACUGUAAUGCGCUUGACAUGUAUGGAAAAUCUGUGACUUAGAUCUUAGCAUCAUUAGUCAGGUAAAAAAAAGAAAAAAACAUGACAAGCCAAAUCAAAGACAACCAAAACUACAAGUCUGGAAGUAAAGCAGGAAAAAAAAAUGUCCCCUUGCCUCCUUCCAACACACCUUUAAGGAAAUAGUGCCCUGAGAAAUGGUUCACUCACUUCAAGGAUAAAAAGGAGAUGGAGAUGGUAAAAGUUCACUAAAUCACUGGUGUGCUAAAUGAUGACAAUUAAUUGAACUCAAAUCAAAAGAAUAUAGGUUUCAUUACAGUAGAUUUUUGAAGCUGGUACUGUAUAAUUAAUAGUUUAAUACAUUUUGAACUUUGUUAAUUUCUCCAUAAUAUUUUUGAAAUGUUAGGAACUUAAUUGCAAUUGUUUAUUUGAACACUGACUUUCUUCCUUGCUUGUUAGAAAGGCGAUACUGCUCAUUGAAGGGUUCACUGCAUCCUUAAUUUUUACUUAUGUCAACCACAGAAAGGCCUACAGAUGAUUUUGAGUUUAUUUACACAAACCAUUCAAGUAGUCAAAUCUCUCUGUGAAUCUCUUUUAUCACAUAGAAUCCCCCUGCAAUUAUAAAGAUACUACAUAUUCUUUGUUACUCUUGCCCUUGACUUUCUUUUUUUGUUUUUGAUGAAAUGAGUGAACACUCAGCACUUCUUCCUAAAAUUACCCAUACCUCCCACAGCAUUAAGUUUUAAAAUUAAUAAAAAGACAACUGCAUGUACUCCAAGUCUAUCAGACUGUAAAAAUUGUAUCACUGUGAUGGGUCAUAAAUAUUAGAAUUUAUUCUAUUAUAUUAUAAUUCUUUUGAUGAAUAACAAAUUACCAAUACAAAUAAUGAGUAGGUCUGGGAACAGCUUUUUUUAUAACAAGAAAGAAAGGGACUUGUUAGAUAGUUUUCACUUUGAACACAUCACACACUUAAAGUAUAAACAGAAAAGAUUUUAACCAUGAUACAAGUCCCUGACUGAGUAUUGUAGUUCAUUUUGACAGAGGAAAACAUUUCGGUGGACACGUGAAAUUUUACAAGCAUGUCUCGGAAUAAUUAAAUCUCUUAAAAACAUUUUUUUAUGAUCUGCUUUAUGAAAAGUUAAAUUUCAAUACAAUUUAUAUGAAAAAUCAUUUUAGCCUAACUUCCCACUAAUAGUAUUUCAGGGAAUAAUUUUAGAAAUAACGAAACACUCAGUGCCACUGGUACUGAAUUUUGGCAUAUUCUGAAAUACUUAAGACAACCAUCAUUUAACUAGGAUAAUUGUUAGUAUCUCUGGAAAUAAUCUUUUGUAGAGAUAUCAUCAUGUCAGUAAAUCAUUGCUGUUUCCUUUGUUUUGGUUCCAUCUGUCUACUAAAGCUUGUAUGAUACAAUCCCUAUGGACUUUAUUAUAGUAGGAGAAACUUAUUUAUAUAUUAGAAUACUGUACCUAUGUGCUGAAAACUAUGUGAAGAUGGUAAGUAAAAGUAUUAGAGACAAUGUUAAUAUUGUUCAGAACAUAUAUUUUUAAGCAUUCUUUAUGUAGAGAUGAAAGUAAAUAAAAUGAUUUUAUUAGUAAUUCAAUGAAAUUUAUUCUUGUUUUUGAACAGAGUUAUGGGAAGAGCAAGGGGAAGCUUGGCAAGUUUAGGUAGUCUUAUUCAAUAUUAUGUUUUCAAGUUUAAGGGCAAAUACGAAUUAAAAAUAACACCCUUAAUUCUCCUAAUUGGAAAUAAGGGAAGAAAUUUUCAUCUCCUCUGUUUUGUUUUUAAUUGUAAUUGCAAGUACUUCAUCCUUUUUUUGAAAUGUAUACAAAUUCUUUUCAAAACUAGAUAGCACUAUUGAAAACCGAAUAGAUCUUUCGUCAGCUUUAUGCCCUGGGAAUGUCUUUUUCAUGGACCUAUACUAGCAAGGAAGAUAGCACUUCUUUUUCCCAAUUUCUGUCGGAGCAUAGGAGCCUAACUGUAGUGGAAGCCUCGAUCCAAGUGGCAAAGCUACCUGCCACCUGUCAUAAAGAUAUGAGAAGUGUAAUUUUCCUCUGGACAAAAAACAAUAAGCUAACACAAAUGGUCAACCCAAUUACUACAUUGAAUGUAGGAUGAACUACUUGUGACAAAUGGUGCUAUCAAGUCCUCUUACUUGAAGGCUAAUUUAUUGUUUAUCUUCAAAGCAUGCAUGUAAAAAGUUGUAUCUGCUUGGCUACAAAAUGGUGAGAUUUCUUUAUCUUUGUAAUCUCCUAGUGGAUUGUCUGAAUGCACAUUAAAGUUUGAUUUAAUGCUUAUUCGAUAAUAAAACUUUUUUUUCUCUAUUACCUUUGUGGAAUUGUUUUCUUGGUUGGGAGAUUUUGCUAUUAUUUUACUAAAAGAGGUCAUUAUUAACAUUUUUUUCUCCCCUCCCCCCCAUGAUUUGUUUAAGGAUAAAGAGGUAUGAAGGGAUCACUGUGGAUAAAUAUAUUAACUAUAAUUUAUUAACAUUUACAGAAGCAGUAACAACAGUAACAUGGAGAGAGAGAUGUAUCAUAAAUAUCUUUUAUAGAACAAUUGUAAUACAGUUUUGAGUUUCACCUGUAAAGUUCUUCAGUCUUUAUUAAAGAGAUUUUUCCCCCUAUGGAAUGGCAUGUUAGAAUCAAGGUAAACUCUUGAACAAGUUUCCUAUAUCACAUUUUAGGGAUAUUAUUAUUUCUUUGAGAGGUUAUUCCUAGUAGUAUUAUAGUCUUGGCUAUCAGCUUUGAAAGCCCACAUGUAAUUUCUGGCCAAACCUGCAAUGCCUGAUGAUUUGCAGAUACCCCAUAUACCCUGCAAAUAAUCUGUGCAAAACAAUUUCCUAGGAGACUACUUCCCAAGAAACAGAGUGAUUUUCUCAUAAGAAGUACAUCCUAGGUGACUGAAAAUUCAAUAAGACCCCUCAAAUUUACGAGACUAUUGUCAGGUCUAAUACAUCUAAUAUAGUCUAAGAUUGAAUAGAGUAAAUAAAAGAUUGAACAAAGAACCCAAUGAUAACACAGAUAUUAAGUUCAUCGUAUUAUAUUAAAAAUAGUAUAUUCAGUUCUGCAAAACAUAUUUUAAAAGACAUUUCAAAAUGAACUUUUAUAACUUUAGUUCUUCCAAAACAGAACUGAUAAGAUAGUGAGAAAUUCUAAAACUAUGUCACCUGAAGGACUGCCUUUUUACUCCAUCUUAAAAUUUUUAUCAUGUACCAUUUGCAAAUGAUAUAAGGAAUAUUAAUAUAAGUAUGUUAAAGGUAUUUUUCCCUUUAGAGGCUUUUCAAUGCAGUAGAAUGGAUAAGACAUAUUCACAAAUGUUUGUGUAUAAGUAGAUUUAUUGUAGAAGCCAAAAUGCUCUUCUAGUAAUUUAUCUUUCAGUCACAUUCUCUAUGCCUCCUGAAGACAAAUAAAGGGUGGGGGGAGGCAGUUCGUAACGUCCUUGUGAGCUAAUCAUUUGAUUUAAUAAAUAUAACUGGAAAGAAAGAGAGUAUAUUAAUUUCAACAUCUCCAGUGGAUCAGGCACAGCAUAAUAUCACACUGUAUAUUCAGAUAGAGCUAAUACAAGCUGUAGUAAAAGUAAUCCUGAAAUACCAGUGACUAAACAAAAUGAAAGUUUACAUCUCAUUAACAUGAAACUUUCAGUUUUUUUUAAGACUUACUUUGGAAUCUAUCCCUCAUGUAGUAGCUCACUAUCUGUCUCUAUCCAUGACAUCUAUAUCAUGGAAAACUUACUUGAAUUAGAUGUGGAUCGAAGUUUGAAAUGGUUUCCCAAAAGAUUUGUAUUAUUUAGUAAAUAGGUUGCAAUUAUUAAACUACUAGUAACUGACUCCAUAUUUCUGAAUAUUUUAAGAUUUUAAAAAGCAUCAUUAUAGAACAAAAAGUGC